rnacentral:sRNA from 1 species
UUUUAAUAGUAACUGUUUCUCGUGAGUAUUAUUAUAUAGUAAACUAGAUUUUAACCUGCGGUAUACCGCGGAAACAAUUUAUUUUUUAAAUUAAUAUAUAUAUAAGUUUAUAAAUUGUAUCUAUGUAUAAAAUAUUUUUAUUGUAUAGUUUACAAUUUUUAUUAAGUAACGUUCUGUCAAACCCGUCAUGCCAACCCGUCCUCUAAAAAAAAGUCAUUUAUUUUAUUAAUGUUGAUCUUAUUUAUGAUAUGUUUAUGAAUUAUUGUCUAAAUAUUUUGUAAUUUUGUAGUAAUUAAAUGUUAUCAAAUAUCUCUACGGUUUGAUAAUUAUAAUCAUGCAGAAAAGAAAUAUCAAAAAUGAUAAUUUUGUAGUAAUUAAAUGAUAUUAAAUAUUUUAGAAGUUUUAUUUUAGUAAUUAAUCGUGUAGUUAAGGUAGAGAGAUUUUGGAAAGAUUGUUAAAUGUCAAAUAUUUAAUUAGAAA